rnacentral:rRNA from 1 species
UACAGGGGGUGCAAGCGUUGUUCGGAAUUACUGGGCGUAAAGCGCGGGCAGGUGGCCUUUUAAGUUCCUUUGUGAAAUCCCGGAGCUCAACUCCGGAUGUGCAUAGGAUACUGGAAGGCUUGGGACUGGUAGAGGCGAGCGGAAUUCCUGGUGUAGCGGUGGAAUGCGUAGAUAUCAGGAAGAACACCGGUGGCGAAGGCGGCUCGCUGGGCCAGAUCCGACACUCAUCCGCGAAAGCGUGGGGAGCGAACAGG